rnacentral:lncRNA from 1 species
GAUCCGGCUCAGCCGGUCGCACCACAGAGACGAGGAGCGGUGCAGUGGUGGAAAUCAUUCCUGCUCCGUUUCUGACAGACGUGGCCAAAUUCUGAACAAAGGCUUUUGGAUCACGCAGCACUUUGGGCUUUUACAACCGCAUUCAAGAGGUGAGCUCUCGGAGCUCGGCUUCAGGGGAAGACGAUGGUGGUCUCCAUGGAAACUGCGGCUGGCCAAUGGUGGGUGUUUGCUGCCUGACCGUGUGACGCGCCGCCUGUUGAGACGAGUAUUGAGGUUGGCAGCUGGAGUGUCUGCUCAUAAUUUUCAUAGCGAAGCAAGUAGAAAGGGGAGAAAAUUGCAUUACCAGCAAGAUUAUUUUAACUCUUACACAGACUGAGUCUUUUAGUUGAGUUUGCUUAGACAUCAGAUGUCGGAGAGUGGAUCUACUGUACAUUCAGCAACAUUCAAAACACAAACAGAGUUCACUGCAUAAUCCAUGUGGUUACGGACGCAGCAGAGCCGUCAGGACGCGGUAGAUGAAGGAGCCUCACACAGGGCAAAUUGCCCCUUCCCACUGCUUACCUGCCCAUCAGCCUCCAGUGUGAAGUCAGCGGGCUGAUGGGAUGCACCGGCUCUCACCUGAGCGCUUUAGACAAGAGCUCAUUUGGCCGUUUAGGCCACCGGUCAACGUCUUACUCCUGAAUUGAGCACUGCUGUUUGUAUAAUGUCAUGUGAAUUCUGACAGCAGGUUUGCAACAUCGUUUGCAGAGCGUAAGCGUAGAAAAGCAGAACAAGAACAAGAGGCACCGGC